UUUACGGGAGGCAGCAGGCACGCAAAUUACCCACUGGCCGAAGGCCGAGGUAGUGACGAAAAAUAACGAUACCGGACUCAUCCGAGGCCCGGUAAUCGGAAUGAGUACACUUUAAAUCCUUUAACGAGGAACAAUUGGAGGGCAAGUCUGGUGCCAGCAGCCGCGGUAAU
rnacentral:rRNA from 1 species